rnacentral:tRNA from 1 species
GGGCCCGUAGUUCAGUUGGGAGAAUGCCUGCUUUGCAAGCAGGAGGUCAGGAGUUCGACCCUCCUCGGGUCCACCA